rnacentral:lncRNA from 1 species
GGUUAUCAGGGGUUUUUGCUUUUGCUUCUUCCUCAUUUUCUCUUGCUGUUGCCAUGUAAGAAGUGCCUUUUACCUCCUGCCAUGAUUCUGAGGCCUCCCCAGCCAUGUGAAACUGAGAAGAGACAGACUCAGACCCAGAGAGGAGAACACCAUGUGGAGAUGGAGGCAGAGGUUGGAGUGAUGCACCUACAAGCCAAGGAACACUGUGGAUGGCAGCAGCUGCCAGAAGCCAGGAGAGAGGCAUGGAGCAGGUGCUCCCUCAGAGUCACCAGCAGGAACCAACCCUGCUGACACUUUGAUUUCAAACCUCUGUCUUCCAGAACGGUGAUAGAAUAAAUUUCUGUUGUUUUAAGCCAUCCAAGUCUGUGGUAAUUUACUAUGGCAGCUCUAGGAAACUAACACUAGUGUAGGAUAAAAAAUUUUCUCAACUCUGUCCCCUUGUUUUCUCUCAUUAUGAUGCCUAUCACUGGCCGG